rnacentral:rRNA from 1 species
GACCAUCCCGUAAGGCUAAAUACUCUCUAGUGACCGAUAGUGAACAAGUACCGUGAGGGAAAGGUGAAAAGAACCCCGGGAGGGGAGUGAAAUAGAAAACUGAAACCAUGUGCUUACAAAAAGUCAGAGCCCGUUAAUGGGUAAUGGCGUGCCUUUUGCAGAAUGAACCGGCGAGUUAAUGUUGCAUGCAAGGUUAAGUAGAAGAUACGGAGCCGAAGCGAAAGCGAGUCUGAAUAGGGCGUGCAGUAUGUAGUAUUAGACCCGAAACCGAGUGAUCUAGCCAUGAGCAGGUUGAAGUUUGGGUAAAACCAAAUGGAGGACCGAACCGAUAUACCCGGAAACGUGUACGGAUGACUUGUGGUUAGCGGAGAAAUUCCAAUCGAACUCGGAGAUAGCUGGUUCUCCCCGAAAUAGGUUUAGGCCUAGCCUUGAGUGAAUCGUUAUGGAGGUAGAGCACUGAAUGUGUGCGGGCUUCUUUUAGAGGUACCAAAUGCAAUCAAACUCCGAAUGCCAUAAUAGAAUACUCAGGAGUCAGUGUAUGGGUGAUAACGUCCAUACGCGAGAGGAAAAUAAUCCAGAUCGCCAGUUAAGGUCCCUAAAUUCAUGCUAAGUGGGAAAGGAUGUAGAGUUGUCAAAACAGCUAGGAGGUUAGCUUAGAAGCAGCGAUCCUUUAAAGAGUGCGUAAUAGCUCACUAGUCGAGUGACACUGCGCCGAAGAUGUACCGGGGCUAAGCAUGAUACCGAAACUGCGGAUUAUAAUAAAAUUAUAGUGGUAGGGGAGCGUUCCAAGUGCGCUGAAGAUAGACCGUGAGGACUGUUGGAGCGCUUGGAAGUGAGAAUGCCGGUGUGAGUAGCGCAAGAUGGGUGGAAAUCCCAUCCACCGUUUGCCUAAGGUUUCCUGGGCCAGGUUCGUCCUCCCAGGGUUAGUCGGGUCCUAAGAUAAGGCUGAAAAGCGUAGUCGAUGGACAACAGGUUGAUAUUCCUGUACCACCUAUAUAACUGAAGGAAUGACGAAGAAAGCUAGGAAGAUCCAGUUAUUGGAUUCUGGUCUAAGCACAAAGACAGAUGAAAUAGGCAAAUCCGUUCAUUAAUAAUGUUGAAGUGUGAUGGCGAAGUGGUUUACCACGAAGUCUUCUGACGCUAUGCUUCCGAGAAAAGUUUCUAGGGUUAAUUAUAUAGGUGCCCGUACCGAGAACCGACACAGGUGGGCAAGGAGAGUAUCCUAAGGUGAGCGAGAGAACUAUGGUUAAGGAACUCUGCAAAAUGACUCCGUAACUUCGGGAGAAGGAGUGACACAGAAAUGUGUUCGCAGCAAAGAGGCCCAGGCAACUGUUUACCAAAAACACAGCUCUCUGCUAAAUCGUAAGAUGAUGUAUAGGGGGUGACGCCUGCCCAGUGCUGGAAGGUUAAUAAAACGGUUUAGAAAUGACGCAAGUCGAUAAUUUCGAAGAUCGGGAUUGAAGCCCCAGUGAACGGCGGCCGUAACUAUAACGGUCCUAAGGUAGCGAAAUUCCUUGUCAGGUAAGUUCUGACCCGCACGAAAGGCGUAAUGAUCUGGGCGCUGUCUCAACCAUAGACUCGGUGAAAUCUUAAUACCUGUGAAAAUGCAGGUUACCCGCAACUAGACGGAAAGACCCCAUGGAGCUUUACUGUAGCUUGAUAUUGGAAUUCGAUUUAUGAUGUAGAGGAUAGGUGGGAGACGUUGAUUCUAUGACGCCAGUCAUAGAGGAGUCAACCUUGGAAUACCACCCUUUGUAAAUUGAAUUUCUAACCUAGAGCCAUUACCUGGUUCAGGGACAGUGUCUGGUGGGCAGUUUGACUGGGGCGGUCGCCUCCUAAAAUGUAACGGAGGUGUUCAAAGGUUCCCUCAGAAUGGUUGGAAAUCAUUCAAAGAGCGUAAAGGUAUAAGGGAGCUUAACUGCGAGACCCACAAGUCAAGCAGAUACGAAAGUAGGACUUAAUGAUCAGGCGAUUCUGUAUGGAAUGGUCGUCGCUUAACGGAUAAAAGUUACCCUGGGGAUAACAGGCUGAUACCACCCAAUAGUUCACAUAGACGGUGGUGUUUGGCACCUCGAUGUCGGCUCGUCACAUCCUGGAGGUGAAGUCGCUUCCAAGGGUUGGGCUGUUCGCCCAUUAAAGUGGCACGCGAGCUGGGUUCAGAACGUCGUGAGACAGUUCGGUUCCUAUCUGUUGUGGGCGUAGGAAAAUUGAGAAGAGCUGUCCUUAGUACGAGAGGACCGGGAUGGACAUACCUCUGGUGUAUCUGUUGUAGCGCCAGCUGCAGCGCAGAGUAGCUAUGUAUGGAAUGGAUAACCGCUGAAAGCAUCUAAGCGGGAAGCCAACUUCAAGAUGAGUUUUCCCAUUGU